AUGAAAAGUUAAUGAGAAUAGUAGCCGUUUUUUCUAAUCUUAGCGAGCGUGGUCUGGUGCAAGCACGCAUUGGCAGACGCGGCGAAAUGAACUCAUUGUCAAAUGGAACGGGUGCAAGCUACGUCCCCGGCUGAUUACCGUUAUCAAUCAUGGAGGUCAUUGUUAUGCAAUGGCAAACCAAGGUGGUACAGCGAACACAAACGCCCUUGAG
rnacentral:ncRNA from 1 species